GAUGAACGCUGGCGGCGUGCCUAAUACAUGCAAGUCGAGCGAACGGACGAGAAGCUUGCUUCUCUGAUGUUAGCGGCGGACGGGUGAGUAACACGUGGAUAACCUACCUAUAAGACUGGGAUAACUUCGGGAAACCGGAGCUAAUACCGGAUAAUAUUUUGAACCGCAUGGUUCAAAAGUGAAAGACGGUCUUGCUGUCACUUAUAGAUGGAUCCGCGCUGCAUUAGCUAGUUGGUAAGGUAACGGCUUACCAAGGCAACGAUGCAUAGCCGACCUGAGAGGGUGAUCGGCCACACUGGAACUGAGGCACGGUCCAGACUCCUACGGGAGGCAGCAGUAGGGAAUCUUCCGCAAUGGGCGAAAGCCUGACGGAGCAACGCCGCGUGAGUGAUGAAGGUCUUCGGAUCGUAAAACUCUGUUAUUAGGGAAGAACAUAUGUGUAAGUAACUGUGCACAUCUUGACGGUACCUAACCAGAAAGCCACGGCUAACUACGUG
rnacentral:rRNA from 1 species